rnacentral:rRNA from 1 species
UACGGAGGGUGCAAACGUUGCUCGGAAUCAUUGGGCGUAAAGCGCACGUAGGCGGCCCGAUAAGUCGGGUGUGAAAGCCCUGGGCUCAACCCAGGAAGUGCACUCGAAACUGUCAGGCUUGAAUAUGGAAGAGGGUCGCGGAAUUCCCGGUGUAGAGGUGAAAUUCGUAGAUAUCGGGAGGAACACCAGUGGCGAAGGCGGCGACCUGGGUCCCUACCGACGCUGGGUGCGAAAGCAUGGGAGCGAACAGG